CUGAAACUUAACUGCAAGGGUCUACAGUACCACUUCUCUCUGCAAAAACAAACACAACAUAAAUCCAAUGAAACCUCUAGGUGCAAAAAUUUUAAACCUCUGCCCCGCCCCCGCCUAACAAGUGGGAAGAGACCCAGCAUUCAGAGCACAGGCCAAGUGCUGGCUGCACGGGAGUCACCUGGUCGUCGUGAAGAGGCUGAGAGUGGAGCAAGCAAUCCAGAGCCCGGGGCCGCCUAGGCAGGGCGCCCGCCUCUCUCUCUGCAAACCUCAGCGGCUCAGUUAUUACCCGUCCUAGCCAUCCCUUCCCAGGUGCCUGGGCAGGAAGGACAGCCGCCUCCACUGCCAGCUCAGGACCAGAGCUGGAUGAAAGAUCCGGUUGGCCCUCAGGGUUUAUCCCGGGUGCAGAAGAGCCCAGCUCCUUUGGCCCAGCAUGACCCAGGUGCCAAACCACCCCUGCGGCUCCACCUCCUGCCACCUCCUGCUUUCCAUGGCAGCCUCUGUUUCUCCACGUUGAGCUCCCUGUCGGCUUUGAGCCUGCUCUCUCCUUCCCCGUUCUUGGAAGCUGUUUCCUUGCCUGACAGUCCCCACAUGUUCUUAGUCACAUCCUCAUGCCCCGCCCACGGCUUCGAUGAAAAUCAAAGGCCCCGGAUUGUGAACGCCUAAAGGUCCUCCUGUCACCCUGACGGCCUCCCAUCCUCGCCCAGCAACUCCCAGACUACAGCAAGGACCAGGACAGGCAAGCGAGGCUGCCCACUCCUGGCGUCCCUGUCAGAGUGGGGACAUUCCUGGGUCAGCCACGCUGGAGUCAGAAAAAGCGGAGUGGGGCAACUGUAACCACGACACUUACAGGAGGGAGAGGAAGCUUCCGCACUGCUCUGUGGAACCUAACCUCAGUUUUGCCAGCCCCAGCCCUGGAGGUCAGGAAUUUCUGUUGUUUCCAAGCCACUCGGACCCCAGUCUUCUGGACAAUGCCAGGGUAGACUAAGACCUCUCCCAUUUAUGACAGUUUCAGGACUCGGAAAUACUGUCAAAAAUAUUUCACAGGUCUCAAAGACGGCUGGCUGAUGCCCGACCACCCUCAUCUCCGGCACAGAGGACCCUGUUGACUGUCUAGCCACCAGCGUGGGGCUGCAGCCUCAUUGCCCGAGUCUGGCCCAGCACCAACCCCAAUCACCCCUCGUUGAGGAGAGAGGUGGCCUCAGAGGAGAGGAACGUCACUUUCGGGAACCCAGAGGUCAGCACACAGCCCCUGGACCAAGAGUUGGCCAGCCACAAGUGGGUCCUGCAGCGUCGGGACCCACACACUCCCGACUGCAUGGCUCGGGCGGCGUGGGGAUGCACUCCCUGUCAGGCUGCAGAUGGCAACGUGGGGUAUGUGCCAAAGUGGCUGGUGGGGUCCCUCCCUUCCCACACAGUGUGGUCUGGUCUCCCACAGCUCCUGUGCCCAACCCCUCAUCAGGGGUGGACGUGAGGUGCGGCCAGCGUCACUGGUGUGUGCACUGCCGUGUCUGCCUGAGCCAGAGGAAGGUCCCAGACAUGGGGAGAUGGGAGCCAGCCUAUGGGCUCUCCUGACCCAGGGGUGAUGAGGAGGAAAACUAGAGACGCAGGACCAGGUUGAAACCUAGGGCGUCAGGGGCUCAUGUCUCCCUUCCACAGGGAGCUGAGUAGGGGGCACCUCAGCUUUAUUCACUCAGACACAGCAAUUAGAGUUGCGCAGCAUUAGAGUCAUCUGUCUGCCUCCCUCCAUGGCACCUGUCCGGGAAACAGCAGGAUCUCAGGUGUUCUUACUUCUCCCUGCAGCGUGUCAGCAUGCUUUCAUGCCCUCUCUUCUCAGGGCUCACCAAGGCGGGCAUUAGGCCUCAGUCUUCCCAGCCGGUCGCCCCCAGUGGGGCCCUUCAACCUCCCACACCAUGAGCUGUCCCACAGCCCACAGCCAUCAGAUCCCCAUGCCGCAGACCCUGGCUGGAACCAGCCAGAGCCGCAUCCCCCAACACACAGCCGAGUUCAGGGGAACCUGUGCUGCGGAGGCACCGUGUGAAAGCCAGAGACCCCUGGGCCACAGAUGGGCAGAUCCAGUGUGAGCGCACAAGCAGCAGGGCAAGUGAAGCAACACCAAGACUCCAAACGAAGGCAGUGUGUCCCUCAGUACUGGUCCCAGAGAUGACAGAGAGCUCGGGGAGCGUCCCAGGGCUCUCGGAAUGAGGAGCUCAGGAAGACAAAUACAAAGUGCAGCUCAGACCCUCAGCAACAGACUGCAAAACCAGAGGGAAGGGUAUCUGCACUUCAGUGUGAGUCUUUUGAAAUAUUCCGCUUGGAAGGAACGGACGGAGGGGAGAGAAAAGGAAGAAAGACAGACAAAGAGAAAGAAACAAAGAUGCACAACCUUAGAGACUUUGGGGACACCAUUAAAUGCAAACAAGUCACAUUUUUGAGUGCCUCAAAGAGAAAAAAAGGAAUAGAAAAAUCUAUUCAGUAAGAUAUUUGAAAACUUCCUUUCCUGGGGGAAAAGAUGGAUAUCCAGAGGUAGGAGGGCUCUGGGACCCAAACAGAUGUGCUGGGAAUGGGCCUCACCCCAACGUAAACCAUCAAAACCAUAAGAGAAGGAGGAUCCCACAAACAAAAGGAGAAGGACACCAAGUCAUACUUCAGGAAGUGCCAUUAGACCAACAGCAGUUUUCUCAACAGAAACCUUAUAAGCCAGGAGAGAAUGGAGAGACAGAUUUUAAAUCCCAAAGAAAAUAACAGUCAGCCAAGAGUAUGUACCCAUGAAGGCUCUCCUUCAGAAAUGAAGCCCAAAGGAAGACUUCUCAAGCUAAGCAAGCAGAGGGAAUUCCUCACAGCCAAGUCAGACUCUUGAGGGGCCCUGCACCCUGAAGCCCAAGAACAGGGACCGCCAUCAGGAGAACAUGCCACUAGGGGCACAGACGGGCAGCGGGAGUGAAGGGGAAGCUGCCCCAUCUCAGAGAAGAUGCGGAGGAAGUAAAGCUCAAACAGGAAAUUGGACACAGUGAUGACAGCGAGCCCUCAUCUCCCCAUAACACCUCAGAGGCAGGCAGACAAAGUCCAUCAGCGACAGCACAGACUGGCUAAGCCCAGGCCGGCUGCCUGCCAGGGACUCGCCUCACCGUGAGGAUGCCACAGACCCAAGGGAACAGAUGCUGAAGGUGAGCCUUGGAAGUGGGCCCCACACAAGCAAGAGCAGCCGUUCAUUCCUGCAUCCAAUGGAAGAAAGACAGAGGCUGCAGGGCUGGUGAUGAUGAAAGGGCAGCAGGGCACCCACAUGCCGUGUGCACUUAAGGAGGGACAAAAGCCUACAAAGACACAAAGGAGAUCAUUACAUAACUAUCAAGGUCAAUUCAACAAAAUAACCAUCGUAAGUGUACACGCACCCAUUGCCAGAGCGCCCCAUUUCAUAAACCAACACUUAAAUCUAAAUGGGAGGCAGAACCAAAGAUGCUCCCUGCACCCUCACCACCCCGCCGGUCAUCUGGACAGGACACUGGCAUGGGGACAGCAGAUCCCGGGGAAGUGACGCUGACUGGAGACUCCCUCCCACUUCUGGAGAACUGGUGAGGCAUCCUCCAGAACCUUAGCCACCAGCAAGUGUCCAGCAAUAAUCCUCCGCGUUAGCCACCAGCAAGUCUGAACAAACUUUUUAAGAACCCAAAUCAUAUCGUGUAUCUUCUUUUCCACAGUGAAAUAAAACUAGAAGUUAACAACAACAGCCAGAGAAGAACAGAAAGGGGAUGAAGAAAAGGAGUAAGAUAUGCUCUGUGCAUGUCCCAACUCCACACAAGGAAUGCAAACAUUACAGACUACAAACGUGAACUAAUAAAAACUAACAAAGGAAACUACAAACUCAGGAAGACUUAACAUGCUACUGAAUGAACAAACUGAAUCAUGGAACAAAAAAGUCAGUUUAAAAAAAUGCAUGCAACAAAUGAAUAUAUAAACAAAACAUACUAAAACUUACGUGAUACAGCAAAAAAAAAAAGCAUCUCCCUAAGAAGGAAAUUUAUAACAAUAAACAUCUAGUGUGAAAAUACAGAACAGUGCAUCUCAAAGAUAUAUAAAUACCACACCCCAAAUUAGAUGGAAAGAAAUAAUAAAGAUCAGAAAAGGAAAAAAAUAAAAUAUACGGUAUUUGUCAUACUGUCUCUUUCUUCAUCACUAAUGUUAUUCACUUGGGGGUCUUCUGCCUUUUUUCUUGCCUACUCUAGCUAAAGGUUUGUCAAUUUAGUAAUCUUUUCAAAAGAGCAAUUCUUUGUUUCUUGGUCAUUUGUACUGUUUCUAGCCUCUUGCGAAUAUCGGUCUGUAAUUUUCAUGUUGUGCUCAUAGCUGGGUUUGGUAAAACAAUAAUGUGGGCCUUGAAUAAUGACUUUAGAAGGGUUUUGUCCCUUGCAAUAUUUUGGAAUAAUUGAGAAUUCCUCUCAGUAGCUCUGAUGAGUAUAGAUGUGGAAAUUCUCAAUAAAAUCAAAUUGAAUGCAAUAGCACAUCAAAAAGAUGAUUUAC
ensembl:lncRNA